CUACGUACGUGUCACAAUCAUAUGGUCAAGACAGUACUUUCAGCUUCCCUUUACGUUUUAUAUAACUGAUGACAUUGUCAGUAAUUCUGCAGGAGAAUCGGGAGCUGUGACGAACAGCGGUAUGCAAUUUUAAGUAUAAUAUUAUAGAAAAUGAUCCAGACAAUGCAACCCAGUGCAUGUUUUGUCUAUUAACCUUUCCCUCUUUCAUUUAGAGGCAGACCUAUGAGAUGACGUUACUAUGAUGCAGGCUGCACCACCAAUUUUCGCCUUGAUUAUUAUGUUAAAGCUAACGGCUGCAAUGCAUCUUUGCAAUACAUACACGUAUUGAUCCCAUAACACUGUUCGAUUUGGAAUAUUUGUCUUAUUCAGUGUCGACUAUUAUGUGAACAGGUAUGCUAGUAGUAAAGACUUCAGGGAUAAAGUUGGUUCUUAUUUCCCAGCUAGAUCUAGUUCUUACUGCAUCCUGUUGAGGGCGACAGAAUACAUGUAAUGUGAAUGCCAAAACCUUUUUGUAUGUACACUAUAGGUUUAAAAUAAUCAUAAACAAUGGACACUGUUUUAUUAUUUACAUCGACCUGUCGUGUUGAUAUAAAUCCACAAUUACCCUGCAAUUACCCUGAUUAAGAAAUUCAAAAGGAAAAGCCCUAAAUGACAAAGUUAAGCAAUACAUGUCUUUGGUUUUAUUCAGGCAGUCUGUCCUCCAGUCUAUUAAAUAGAAGGACAGAAUAGAAUGGAACAGAACAGAAAUACAAGAGAUUUACUCAGACAUCUAGAUCGGCCUGUCUUUGUGUUGAUUUGUGAAGACUAUCUUUUAAAGAUUUUUGUUAAGCGGUUCUGGUUGUGAUACCAUAAUAUUUUUUUGAAAUGACAAAAUUUCUAUCUAUAUAUGGAAUUAACAUACAAGUUGUGUAGUGAUAGUAAUACAGUUAUUGAUAGCUAAAUAUUCUCUACAAAGCCUCUGGUUAAUCCACUGUUAAAUCAAGAAUUGCCUUACAAAAUUAUUUUCCUCACAGUGAUCAGGCCACAUCAUAUCUUUAAGACCUCAUAGUAUCAUAUUAUCCCAACAGAUCACUCUCAGACUACAAGUUUACUUGUGGUUCUUUGAGUUUUUAAAAGGAGAAUGGGAGGCAGAGCCUUCAACUGUGCUGCCCCUCUCCUGUGGAACCAGCUCCCCGUUUGGAUUCAGGAGACAGACACUGUCUCUACUUUUAAGACUAGACUCAACACUUUGCUUUUUGAUAAAGGAUAUGGUUGGGGCUGGGUCAACAAACCCUAAACAUUCACUUAGUUAUCCUGCUAUAGGCUCAGGCUACUACUGGACUUUAUGUUUUCUCUUUCCCCUCACCCUCAAUUGGCUUCUGCAGAUGGCUUCCCCUCCAUGAGUCUGGCUCUGCUGGUGAUUUCUUCCUGUUAACAGGGAGGUUUGCCUUCCCACGGUUCCAAAGUACAUGCUCAUUGGGGGUGGCUUGAUUGUUGAGGUUUUCUCCAGUACUGUAGGAACGUUAUAGAACACCUUCAGCUGAUUAUUGUGUUCAUUUUAAUCUUCAGGCACACAACCAAGGCCGAAUUUGCUGUGAUGAGAACUCAUUCUGUAUGUUUACACGAGUGUCUUUGGCCCAUGGAAGUAACUCCUCCCAGGAAGAGUGAUGGGAAUUAGAUAAAAGUACAGGCUAUCUGUCAGUAUCUCACAGGAUGUGAGGAUAAGUUUCCAGAGACACAUUUUUCUUCUGUGAACGAGAUUUACUGUGAGCUGUCUCAAGAAGGAUGUCCGUGCUUUUUAGGAGACCCACACUAACCAGGUUGCUGCUGCUGAAGAACAUUAAGCAAAAUCAGAGGUCAACCAUCUACAGCAAGCCACCCAAGGAAAAGAUUGGGCCAGUGCAGUCUACCUUUGCCUUAUGCGUGUUUGCUGUGACUCUCCUGGCCCCGGCUGGCUGGAUCAUGCAUCAUAUCCCAGAAUAUCGAAGACAAGGCCAGAAUACCUCAACAUGACUGAUUUCUACAGGAACUCUGCAGACAGGCACCCGAACAAUGUCACUGUGUGAACCUCUCUCCACUGUGUAAAAUGUCGUGAAAAAAAGUAAAACCUUUGUUAAAUCUGAAGUCUGACUGAGCUAUUUUCCUAUACAGUUACAAAUGAUAACUAUUGUGUAUUUUAUUUCUGAGAUUAUUGACUGUUUUGAGGGUGAUAUUAAAAAAAAGACAAAA